rnacentral:rRNA from 1 species
GACGAACGCUGGCGGCGCGCUUAACACAUGCCAGUCGAACGGAAAGGCCUGCUUUCCCUUGUGGAUUGCGGGUACUCGAGUGGCGAACGGGUGAGUAACACGUGAGUGAUCUGCCCCCGACUUGGGUAUAAGCCUGGGAAACUGGGUCUAAUUCCCGAUAGGACUGCAGGGUGGUGCCUGUGGUGGAAAACGAUUUUCUAGUGGUUGGGGAUGAGCUCGCGGCCUAUCAGCUUGUUGGUGGGGUAAUGGCCUACCAAGGCGGCGACGGGUAGCCGGCCUGAGAGGGUGGACGGCCACAUUGGGACUGAGAUACGGCCCAGACUCCUACGGGAGGCAGCAGUGGGGAAUAUUGCACAAUGGGCGGAAGCCUGAUGCAGCGACGCCGCGUGGGGGAUGACGGCCUUCGGGUUGUAAACUCCUUUCGACCGCGAGGAAGCCACCUGGUUGGAAGGGUGGUGACGGUAGUGGUAGAAGAAGCACCGGCUAACUACGUG